rnacentral:rRNA from 1 species
UGCGCCUUGCCAGCCCGCUCAGGUGUGCCAGCCGCCGCGGUAAUACGGAGGAUGCGAGCGUUAUCCGGAUUUAUUGGUUUAAAGGGUGCGUAGGCGGUCCGUUAAGUCAGCGGUAAAAUUGCGGGGCUCAACCCCGUCGAGCCGUUGAAACUGGCAGACUUGAGUUGGCGAGAAGUACGCGGAAUGCGCGGUGUAGCGGUGAAAUGCAUAGAUAUCGCGCAGAACUCCGAUUGCGAAGGCAGCGUACCGGCGCCAGACUGACGCUGAGGCACGAAAGCGUGGGGAUCGAACAGG